rnacentral:rRNA from 1 species
UACGAAGGGGGCUAGCGUUGCUCGGAAUCACUGGGCGUAAAGGGCGCGUAGGUGGCGCGGGAAGUCAACGGUGAAAGUUCGGGGCUCAACCCUGAAUCGGCCGUCGAUACUCCCGGGCUCGAGCACUGUAGAGGCAGAUGGAAUUCCGGGUGUAGCGGUGGAAUGCGUAGAGAUCCGGAAGAACACCGGUGGCGAAGGCGGCUUCCUGGUCUGCGACUGACGCUGUGGCGCGAAAGCUAGGGGAGCAAACGGG